rnacentral:lncRNA from 1 species
AACAACAACAACAACGAUCACAAACUGAGCAACAAACAGAGAAAACCACAGAAGAUGAAGAUUUGUUGCCAAAAAGAAAAGGAAAGUCAGUUAUCAGGAAUUAUUUUGGUUACAAGAAGGUGUUCUGUGAUCAUCUGUUUCCACAAUAACGUCCAGAACAAUAAAAGCUAAAAAUAUCGCAAAAUCGCAUCGUGCUUGAUGUGUAUAGUCAGGCGCGUCAAAAUUCACCUCAGAAUAUUUCGUAAUUUCGCGUCGUAUAUUUGCAUCGUUCCCCAUGUGUAAGAACAUUAAGUCACAAGCUCAUCAAAAAUGUAUCUAGUUAAGGUUCCUCUGAAGUUACUCAGUAGUGCAGAUACAACACAUUCCCAACAACAAACAUCAUUUACCAAAAAAUACUUGCGCUCAUUUUCAUAUGCUGAAUUUGUUACGAGGAAUAACACACCUGUUCGCUUCCUGACCACAGACCAGGAUGUUUUCCUCAGCCCUCUGGCUUCAGUUUAUACCCAGCAAGGUCUGGUUAAAUCUAACCAUGCAUCUAUUAUUGCCAGCAUGAUCCAGUGUGAUGUUUUGAAAAUAAUCCUCUGUAGACUUAACUUUGUCACUGUUUUCUGUUCCUCGUACACUUUUCUGUGCGGUGUUGUAGAAGUUCUUAAAAAGGUGACAUCUUCCAGUGUUUAGGACUGUCCCUGUCCCAGCAACAGCGGCGCAGGUGACAGGUACAUGCUGCAGUUUUAGCUCACCUGAAAACCCCAAAUGUGAUUACUGUAAGCCAUUCCUAUCAUGACAACCAUAUUGGUGCAACAUCACGGCUUCUAGCAAUAUCUGCUGCAAUGUUAAGUCUAUGUUUGCACCUGAGCAGAAUGGACAUUUGACAGUAAAAGUCAGAGCAGGUGCUUUUACAGUGAGGCUUUAGUCUGCUAAAACGGUUUUGAUUUUUGCAAAUUUCUGAUCUGUCACAGAGCGCUCAGAAAUCCUUUUUAUACCGAGCCAGGUGCCGCUUCAUAUGAACCAAAUCAUGAACACUUCAGCGCGGUGAAACGCCGGUUGGCAGACAGUUUUCAGCCUGCUGGUUUUAGCUGUGAGAGGUAGACAGCGAGUCAGGGAGGAAGUGAAGGGUUGUGCUUUAAAAAAAGGAGAUUAAAAUUUGAUGCUCCAGAAGAAAUGACCACAAACUGAAGUGAAAUAUAGACAUGUGUUGCUUUAUAUUGAACUAUAUAAUGAAAACUGUUAAAAACACGAGUCACUGUGAGACCCGGGUAUUCUGUUGCUCUUUCCUCCUCAUCCUCGUCUCGUCUCACUCUUUUUUUCCUACUUGUCUCCCCCGUCUCACCCCAGUGACAGUAAACAGCCCCCCUGCUGUUCGUCUUCUAUUCCAGCCUCCAUCCUGAUUCCCCCUUUUCUCCUCUGUCUUUAUCCCUCUUCUCUCUGACAUCAGCAGGUCAGGCUAAAAGCUAAAGGCGCUCUCCAGACACAGAUAAAGAGACAUGAGAGGGCCUGAACAAUCAGAGGUCUCAGAGAGGAGAGGGACGAUGGGGUCAGGGUGAUGAGGAUGACAAUGACGAUGAUCACAGCAGAAAGAAACCUCUGAUGAUGGAGUUUAAUGUGACAAAUACAGUCACAAUAUGCAGAUUAGUGAGGACCGGGUCAAAAGAUCGGGUUCCUAGAUUUUCUUCGGACUGUUGCACUAAAUAUUAAACUAAAAUAAAUGUACAGUUUUAACAUCAUAGAUAAAAAUGACAAAUAUAAAUGAUAUAUGGUACAAAACAAGACAGUCCAGUCUCAUUAGUAUGUGCUACAGUAUGCAACAAGACUGUAAGAUACAAUACAAUACAAGACAAUACAAUGUGUUUAGGGCUGCAACAAUUAAUCGAUUACGUCGACACAAAAAAUUCAUCGACACGAAAACUUAAGCGUCGACGCGUCGUGUUAUUGUUGUUGAAAAUCACAUGCCGGCGCCUCAUGCUCAUCUAUAACUGCAGUGCACUACAGGAUGUGCUGGGGGGAGUAGCGCUCGCUGUUUACAUCCCGCGAGUAAACCUAUGGCGCAAACACAGAAGAAGAAUGCACACAUUAUGGCGGAAGAAACUGAAGAAGACGCUCCAAAACUCCGACCCAAAACUUAAAAAGUUUUGGAACAUUUUACGGAGAACAAACCAAAAAAACACGUUGAGUGCAAGCUAUGCAAAGCUCAGCUUUCCUACCAUGGCAGCACCACGGCGAUGCACGAGCACCUGAAACGCCGACACCCCGGAAAUAGGUGUUUAUAAAUAAAGAAGAUAGUUGUGAUCAAUCGAAAGAAUAAUCAAUAGAUUAGUCGACAACAAAAAUAAUCGUUAGUUGCAGCACUAAAUGCGUUACAAAAUAAACAUUUUAAUACGCACAAUACUAAACAAUUCAACAAAAUAAGAAGAGAUGAAAUGAUACUAUAAAGUAAAAUAUAGUAUGAUAGGAAACAAAACUUUAAUAUGAUUCCAGUCAAUACAGCGUGACUGGGCCAAUCGGCCGAUCCCAAUACCAAGCAGGUUGACUGAUAGCUGAUGCAUAAUGCUAAUGUUGUUUUUAUAUAUAUACACACAACUAUUUGAUUAUACCAAAAACGGAGAAUCAAACUCGUUGAACUUCAGUGAACAUUUUAUCCAAUAAAUGUGGAUGGAAAAAUAUUUAGUUCUGUAAAAUAUUACCACAAAAGACUUUUGGAGUUCUGUCCAGCCAGACAGUAAAUAUUAGGGUUAAAUUAAAAAAGGGAAGUCAGGAUGAUUAAAUUGAUUUUUCAUACUCAUAAUCUGAUAUGGUGAUACAAGCCUUGUGACUGCUGACGCACAUAUUGUCAGAAUACUAUUAAUCUGUGUGAUCAACAGUUUACGGCCGCCUGUUUCUAAAAUCUCAGCAGUGACUGUAUGACAAUGUUUAGAUAGUGAUCGAAUCUACCUUGCCCACGUAUCGUCAUUGUGUAGAAAACACUGGCAGUGAACCCUCUCCUCAAAAUCAGGUAGCGCCCUCUGCUGUUCAGAAGCAGGUACUGUGGUUCAUUUUCAAUCUCACUGAUAGAAAUGGUCCUUUUAUGCUUUUCAGGCCCAGCGUCACACCCAUGAUCCGUUUUUAAAAACACCCAUUUUUACGAUGAAGACAUUUGAUUUAACCCACAUUUGAUCUUGUUUACCUCUCACCAGGCGUGUUUGUGAGUGUUUUUGUGCAUAUUGAAGUGUGUACAGUAGAAAUGUAAAAUCUGCCUGUCAGAUGAAAAUAAGAAGGAAAAAUGACUCUUAGUUCUCGUCAUCUCACUCUCUGUGGGGGCAGGACGACUUCCUGCAGAGCUCGGACAUGCACAAUCGCACACCCACACACAGACAGGUCAAAGCUCCUGAAGCUUUAGUGGCCACUGGAGGGGCAGAAAUAAUGACGUCCAUAAUGUCUCCCUACAGCGGGGGAGAGAGGGGGAGUCAGAGAGGAAGAAAGUGAGGGAGGAGAGAGAGAGAGCACUUUCCUCUCCUCGACUGUAGGAGUCCUUUUGUCGCUCGCCCUGCGGGGGCUUUUAGUCCUUGCCUCCAACUUAUCGGCUGUCCAACCACGAGGGGCGGGCGCCUGAGAGGGUUCUGGAGCAGGAUGGAGGGGGGGGGGGAUUGAUACUGUGAAAUGCUCCAGCUUUUCUUCUGGGUUUUGAGGGAGAGGGGGCUUUGUGUGCACAGAGAGGUCAGAGCAACAGUCGAUCGCCCUCCCUCCCUUUCUCUUUCUUCCUUUCUUUCUCUUCAACGCUUUUUCUCUUUCCCUCCGUUCCCCGUGAUUGAUCUAUUUUUCACUUCUCUUACAGUUGCGUGUUUGCAGCCAUUCAAAAUGUGAUUUUUAAAAAUCAUAGGCACCUGCAAAUUGAGCGUUAUGUGGCGCACAGACACGCACACACCUUUCUAAUCUUCUGGGAAUUAAAUUAAAUGAAUCAUUGGCUGAUUUUCAAGGCCAAAAGAAGCUGAGGCACAUUUUUAUUCUUGUGUGUUGGUGUGACAGCAUUCAUUGUGGAGAUAUACGGUGAUUCUGCUCAAAAAUACCAUCAAGUUCUAGCAGCCUGAUCUUUGAAUGUUGGUGUUUUUUUUUGUAAUUCAGAUUUUUAUUUAAGCACAUGCAGUAACAGCUCAGAGUGGUACAUCGUACAGAAACCAGGAGGGCCUCCGUCAAAGGGACACAUUUUCUCAAAUUUCGGUAGAUCCUGUCAAAAGGAAUUUAACCGCAAAGAAGUCGUAAAGCACAGAAGUAGAAAACAAAAACAAAUAAUAUAGUAGUACAUAUAUAUACCUAUACACAAAUAUAUUGUACAGAAACAAAUAAUCCGAUAGUAAUAAUGACAACAACAUUAAAAAUAAAUAAAGUAAGAAAUUAGGUAGUCAAACACUUCUUCAAGCAGGCCUCACCAUCACAGCUCUGGUUAGAAGUUAGAUGUUCCAUGAAACAACCCCAAACCUCCAGUUCCACAUGACCUUUACCCCUUAACCUCACCAACCUCUGGCGGCUGAAGUUAACCCCACGAUCAGAACAGAGAGUAUGUUUUUUGUUAGGGUUGGGAUUUCUGACAUAUCUCCCAAAAGAUAUAAACGCGGUGAUAAUGGCAAGGCUACUUCACACCUUUAUGCCAGCAUAAAGGUGUGUAAGGACCUUUAUGCUGCUGCGUUCCAGUUACCUCAGAAGGCGAAUGUCAGCGCUGGGAAGCACAGAACAUCCAAGUUGACGGUGUUCCAGUAAACAAGUCGGAAAACGACGCAAAUAUAUGAUGCGAAAUUAUGAAAUAUUUGGAGGCGAAUUUUGACGCACCUGACUAUACACAUCAAGGAAAAAAAGACGUGUCCCGGAUGGAAGCGAGAAGACUGACCCAACAGCAGACUGACUGUUUUCAGUUCUGAUUAGACUCUAGUGUUGAGAUGUCUGUCUGUCAUGAUAGCAUGUACUGAGUCGGGGUCAGUACCAGAUAAGAACAUUAAACUAUAAUCCAUAAACGUAAGGUAACAACCGAGACCUAAUGGUGCUGUGACAGUGAAAAUACAUAUGGUAUGUUGUAUCUGAACAGGUUAGCUUACGAGCUAAAGUUACUUAGCACAGAUGAAAGUUAAAACAAAGACGUUUAUCAAACUGUUAAAGCACACAAACCAUCGUCAUAUGAGAAAUCCAACGCCAUGACUCUCCACAAGUCGUCCUUCAGGUCGUUUUCUUUGUAAUGUUUGUGUCUUUUAUCAAAAAUCACUCUGUUCUCCGACACGUAAACAAUCAGCCGGUCGGCCAUGUUGGAUAUACCGGUGAAUCUGACGUCGCAACAACACGCAAUCUGAUUGGUCAGAAGUGGACACACAGUGUGUGAAACUUUAGAAAAUUCGACCAUGAUAUGAAAAAAUAAAUGCCGCAAUAUCACAGAACGGGAAAAAGUCGCUGAUGUGAACGCUUGUAUUGACAGGAUACGGGUUUGAAAAAAAAUAUUGACGUUUGAGAUACGGGCAUGAAAAAAACGCUCCCGGUGUGAGAGGACCUUAAGACGUUGGGUAUUACAACAUUAUUUAAUUUCACAAAAACAAAACAGAAAUGCUAAUAAAUAAAACAUCACAAGAGUUUUCCCUGUUACUCUUGACUGUUGAUGCACCGCCCUCUUGGAUUUUGACAUUGUCGUCAAAUCGGGAUUGGUGAGGAUUGUCGGACUCAAAGCUAAUCCACAAAUUAACACCCUUUACACCUUGUAUUUUAACAUAUAUGAUUUGCGCUUAGCAUUCAGUCAGUAUCAGGAACAAGGGUAGAUCAUUUUUUCUGCAGGGUAUCAAAACUUGCUUAACUGGUGUUGGAUCACAUAACAAACGGGGCGGGGCUUAGAGUUGUCAGGAAGUGAAUGGAGUUGGUGCAAGCAGGUAUGUUUGCACCCCAUGUGUACACAUAAAGUGUGCAGUGUGAGUUUACAUACAUGUAAUGCAUACGUGUGUGUAUAUGUGAAUGUGUGUGUGUGUGUGUGUGUGUGUGUGUGUGUGUGUGUGUGUGUGUGUGCUUGUGCUGAUUAGAUGAUUAUUUCUAGAUGGGAUAAGUGGCUGAAAUAGAGACUCUGUUGACUGUUGUUUGGGUAAUAAUACACACACUCACACACACAGUCAUGCACGCCACGCCAGAUUGCAUUACCUGUCCCUUUUCAUAGCAGCAUAAUGAGAUCAUGGAAACCCUAAACGGACGGAUCGAGGGAAUCGAAACAGAGAGAGAGAGAGAGGCCAAGUGACAUCGAAGCACAGUGAGGAAAAGAGAGAGAAGAAACUGAGGGGACGAUUAUGAAAAGUUGUGAAAUACAGUUUAGUUCUCCCCUAAAUUCUGUUUUUAAACUAUCUUUCUUUGGUGUAUUUGAAAAAGAGAAAGUAAGUGAAAUGUAAACAGAAAAAGGGAGGGAUGGAGAUGGAAGGAGAGGGAAAAUCUGGCUGCUCACCGGCUUAUAUUGUUGUUUAAAUGUGUCCAAACAGAGCAGGCUCAGGUGUCAGAGAAGGGUAACAGGAGAUCCAACAGACCACACCUUUGACAGAGGUCCCUCUUUAAAUGCACACAGAACAAACUCACUGAGAGUAUGGAAGAGAAUACAGUCAGACAGACAGAUGAGAAAUUAAUAAAUGAAAUGUCAGAUUUCACUUGUUGUGAAGUACUUUCAAACCGUGUCAUAAAAGAAUGGACAGAUUUGAGCGCUUUUACUGCUAGAUAAAUGUCUUUUAAAACUGUCAGCACUCCUGUUCUUGUCCUCUCCUUCAUUGUGCUCAUUCUGUCCUUUGGCUUUUCAGACACACAUGAAAACAAAACACCUGCCUCCUCCCACUCCUCUCCUCGCUCUCUACCUGUGGCUUUGUGCUGCUGUUGUUGUCCACAAUCAAUCUCAGUUUUCUCCCAAAACCUUGUUUCUUAUUCAUCUAUUUGAUGAGAAGAGGCAAUAUAAUAUUGUUGCUACAACUUCUGCAUAAAGUUCAAGUAUUUGUGGGAUCAGCAACUCAGAGAUGCUCUCACCAGCUCUGUUCAAACAGCCCUUUAAGAUCGCAAAGAUUAAUCAUUGUAUCUAAACGUUUGGUUGAAGUAAGAGUUUUUUUCUCUUUUCUAACCGCUGCUUUCAAAACCACUUACACCUUUGACAAAAACUGUAGUUUCACUGUUAUUUUUUUUAAUACAAAUAAUGCCAAAUACAUCCAGUUAUUAGUCGGGGGGAAGAGCAGCAACUCCCACAUUCUUGAAGUUAGAAUUCAUUUUUUUGUCAAUGGGGUUUGGUGAGUUCUGUCAGGCAUGUUUCUGGUCAAAACCAGAUCUUAAGUCAACCAAAAGGGUCUCACUUAAAAAAUUAAAAUAAAAUAAAAAAGACGUCAUCGCACCACCUACACCGUUUGAUUGACAGGUGAUGUCUAGGAAGUGCGUCCCCCUAAAAAUAGCAGUUUCAUCGUUUAAUCUCCAGGAAGACGAACCUGCCAAAAAGUGCCGCAGUGAUGGAUUUGAGACGAGGUUCUCAGCUCCUCCACGCUUCAUUAUGCAGCUUAUUCUCAUCACACUGCCCUCGGUGAACGGCUGACGCAACAGUCAGCAAGAUCACUCCUUCACUCCCCUCCUCUUCCUCCUUUCAUCCCACUCUUUCCUCCUCCAUUCCUCCCCUUCUUCUCACCCUCUUUCCUCGUCUACUUUGUCCUCUAUGUAAACUUUUUCCAGUGCUCGUGUCACUUCUUUUUCAAUCUUUUCUCUUCUCUUUGUGUGCUUCCAGAAAAUUGAUUCCUUGCUGAGUUGUCUGAUCUCUUUUUGUGCUUAUUCUCUGUCAGCUCUUAUUUCUUUACAAACUCACAUUCGUCCUUAACCUUUUUUUCAUCUACUAUCGUUGUGUAUUUUUGGCAGAUUUUAUAUCAAUACUAAGGCCCGACCGAUUUAUCGGUGAGCCGAUUAAAUCAGACAGUUUUAGCCCAUUUGAGACUAAUUGGUAAUUGGCCAAAAAUCGUUGAUUUCGCUGAUAUUUUCAGAAAUAAAAUGCGGAGAAUAAGAUUCGGUUUCACUUCAAAAAUGUUCCGCCAUUUGAAAAGUUCCCCGACUUAUCCUGUAGAUGGCGCAGCGACCUCAUGACAAUCUCAGGGACGCACGGAGGAGAGUGGUCCGUCUUAACGGUAAAUAAACCAGUUUGUGAAAUACACAAUAAGUCAACAAGUUUCACUUCAACCCGCUUCACCAUGUUCCCCGCUGUGCUGGUCUCGGUCACGCCGAGUUAACGGUGAAGCACCAUGUAAUAUGAAGCUAAAGUUAGAGUUAGCCAUCUGCUAUUAGCCUUGCUACACUGUUAGCCGUGCCAGUAACGGUAGAAAAAACAACAGAACACAUUAGUGAUUGAGCUACUUCUCUUACUGAGGCAGCUGCAUGUCUCCAGAUGAGACCGGACGCAAGUUAAGACGCGGAGGCACCAAUCGGCGUGGGGGGAAGUGAAAACGCUUUUCUGGUGAUCAGUCGGUCUUCCUGCCAGCGUGAAGAGCAGUAGCCUACAGUAUAUCUACAGUAUAAUAUAGUUUACUGUAGAUAUCUGCAGUGUAUAUAUAUUUUUAUAACUUCAUAAAAAAUUUAAAAAAUCAUCCGAUUAACCGGUAAUUGGACCCCCCCCCCCCCCCCCAAUAAUUGGUAUCGGCAUCGGCCCCCAAAAAUCCAUAUUGGUCGGGCCCUAAUCGAUACCAUUAUAAACUCUACAUCCUGAUCAUUUAUUUAUCCUGAUCAAUUAUUUAUCGAUCAUCAGUUCUUGUGGAUUAUUAACACAGUUUUUAUAAUUACUCGUAAUACCUUCACUUUUUUGGUGACACAGGGAAUUCUGGUUUCUGAUUGGCCAUUUAACGGUCAGCUAAUUGCAGAUACGGCCUCUGAUUGGUCUACAGAUGCCUUAUCUUAGCUGGAUAGCUCCUGUCUAACAGUGUUACGUCAUGUGUUUGCAGUGCAUGUGGAGAGUAUUGAUUAGGGAACUACCAAGGAUAGAAGCAAAUGAUAACUGUGACUUAGACCAGGAGGAUCCAAAUCUUGAUCCUCUCUCUAGUCGCUCACUUUCUUCAACCUUCGUUCCCUCAUAUUUUCCCCAAUCUUUGUCUCCAUCCUUCCUUGAACUGUUUGACUUCUUUUUGUGUCCAUCAUUCUUUCUUUUUUUUGGUUCCUUUAAAAAAAAUCUCCAGACUUUCUGUUUUACCUUUUUUUUAAAAUAAUUUUUCUUCCUUCCUUCUUUGCGUACUUGAUCAUGGUUUUCCUUCCUUGUUUCAUCUUUCCUCCUUUUAAUUCUUUAAGGAUGUCAUUUUAUAUCCCUGACUUUGUAUUUUACUUUCUUAAGUACUCAUUGUUACCUCUAUUUUAUCCUUUAGUUUUAAAUACUUUUAGUCUUUCCUUUCUCUUUGCGGUCACUCCUUUCUAGUAACCUUUCUUGCUUUUUUUCCCUCCUAUUCCUUUUCCCAGUUUAUCUUCAUUUUCCUUUUUUUUACGUCCUUGAACAGUUGCAGUCUCUCUCUCGUUCGUUUUUACUCCUCUUAUCCUUUGUUCCUGUCUCCUACUUGUUUUCUAGAUAUUUCCUACCUCCUUUGCUCUCUCCUCUUUUCCCUCCUUGUUUCCUUCAUACUUUUUACCUCCAAACAGUUUCCUUUUUUUCUUUGUGGUCACUCCUUUUUCCUUCUUACACCCUUCCCUCCCUUCUUUCUUUUUUCUAGUCUUACUCACCUUCCUUUAUUCGCGCCUUUUUUCUCACUGUCUUGCCUUCUUCUCUUUAGUAACUUUUACUUCUGCUUCUUUUUCGCUUCUCUUUCCUCCACUUUUCAUCAGUUGCUCCUUCUUUUGUUCUUUCUAUUUUAAAAUUUUCCUGACUUUCUUUUCACCGCUUCCUCUCUUUUUUGUUUUUCUUUCAUCCUUCAUUCCUUGAUGCCUUUUUCUCCUCUUCCAGUCUCGACCACAUUUGCGUUUCUCUCCUCUUCUUUUUCUUUUGUAUCCUUUCUUUAUUCUUCACCAUCUAUCCCCCCUUCUUAUUACUCUCCUUAUCUUGUUUGCUUCCUUCCCUCCUUCCUUUUUCCUCCUUCUAUCCUUGGCACUUUAUUUUUCCUUUUUCUUUCUUCUUUCCUUAUACGGCAUCCUUCCUUCAUUUCCUGAUAACUUUCUCUUCUUCCCACUCUUUCCUUCUCUUCUGUCCUCCCUCCAUCUUUCUUUCUUCCUCUCUAUCUCCAUCCUUUUUUCUUCAUACAUUUUUUUUCUCUUAGGGAAUGUGUGAUGAGCCUGCAGCUAAUCCCAUCCCUAAAGCACCUUAGCAACGCUCGCUAAGGGAAUUUGGAGGGCGCUACACAAAAUAAAUCACACACACACUCGUUUAUACACACACACACACACACACACACACAGACCCAGCGAGCAGCCCCCUGUUGGCAGCGGCUGGCUUCAGGAUGCUCUAAUACAUCUUCAAAUGUGCUUUUUAAAGCGUUCGGAGCGGCUCUGUUGUCGGGCGAUAACUCCCCACCGGUUAAAGGAUGGAUGCUCCCGCUCGUCCUCCUUCUGUCUUUUCUCAUCCUUCCACAUCCCUCACUUCCUCCUCUCCUCCGACCGAGCUGUCGACUUUAAAGAAAACAAGAGAAAGUUUGUGUCUCUGAACAAUAGAGGCAUUGUUGGGAAGUUUCCUCCUGCGAUGUUUGACACGAGUGAGGAGUCUGAAGCUGGUUUCACCUCAUGCUUCUGUCGCCUGAAUCACUCUCCGUCUCCAUCAUGGCAUUCACAUUUAAACUACGGUCUUUUUCUGGCACAGAGGACGCAGAAUCUCAGAGAAGACUUUAACUCACCGACUUGUAGUGGAAACAUCUGUGAAUAGAUGUGCAUAAAUCACUGAACUCUACUCACUCUUUUAACAUUAUUCAGUUUAUUGUUUACUGUUUGACACUGACUGUACUCACCUGAUUUUGAUUAUGUCUUCACUUCCUUUAACGGGUACAAUGGAGGUGCAGCCAUUGUAUAAAGUCAAUAUGGAGUACCUGCAGAGCUUAAGUUGGCAAAUAGAGAAAAUUAAAGAGCAUCAGGUGAAUGUGAUGGUGUCCCCAGUUGUCUGGAAAGACAGACGUAGAAAUAGUUGCUGACCGAUAAUGGUUUCUCAAAAGCUGUUGACAAUCACAGAGCUGGUUAACCAAUAGAGCAAGGAGAUUCAUCAGAUUUUAAUGUGGAUUUUAAUUAAAGUCCUCCAUGAUCACAAAUAUUUGAUAACCUGAGAGAGGAGAGCAGGGAGAGGAGGAAGAGGUAGGUUUGUUUUUUACCUCCGCCAAGGAGGUUAUGUUUUCGGUAGUGUUGGUUUGUUUGUUUGUUUGUUUGUCUGUUAGCAACUUUACGGAGAAAGUUACAGACGGAUUGACCUGAAAUUUUCACCCGAGGUUCGUCUCAGCCCCAGGAGGAUCCCAUUACAUUUUGGUGGUGAUCCGGAUCGCCUUCUGGAUCCAGGAAUUUUUUGAUUCUUUAUCAUUGUGAGAUAGGGCAAAUUUAGGAAUUUUUGCAUUUAACUCUAUAAAAAUGUCCAGAGUCUUUAGUAAAAAAUGACACUAAAGGAUCUCAAUGGUUUUAUGAGGUGUCAAAGGUUGAUCCUGAUCCAGACAAAAUUCUGGAUACUGUGAUCCAGAACACACAAAAAUAAGGGUGUCGUUGGAAUUUUCAAUGCUGAAAGAUAACCAAUGGGCGGCACAGUGGUGUAGAUAGGCGGUACAGUGGUGUAGUGGUUAGCACUGACGCCUCACAGCAAGAAGGUCCUGGGUUCGAAUCCGGGUCAGGGCAUUUCUUGUUUUAGGAACAUUAUGAACAGUGAACAUACCAGUUUAAACACAAAUAAACGUUAAUAAAAGACACGUAACAGUAAAAGUUUUGGUGUGAAUCACAAUAUAAGGGGGACAUGAGCCGCUUGGAGGAGGUCUGCGCUCUCUGAGUGCUUUUCUAGUUCUCAAAGUUUUGUGGACAUUUAAUGAUUGAUUUGACUGGAGGUGAAAAAGGAGAAUGUACAGGAGGAAGAAAGUGAUUCAGCUCAUUGGUGUGUUUGAUAUUGAGUUGGUGAGAGCGAUGAAAGCAGACACGUGGAGGAUGUUGUAGGAGCUGAGGUCAGAUCAGGUUUACUCACAGGAGCGUUUGUGUUCAUCUUUGAUUUACUGAGUCAUUUCUCCUUUGUCUUUGCUCGAGUGUUUUCCACUCAGUGCCCGGGGCCUCGUAUCCCAGCAUGCACUGCACAAACCCUUCUAUUGUUCCACCUCCUGCAUUGAUGCACUUUUAUGAAGGCUCAACUUUCAGGGACAGAAAACAGGUUCAGAAAGUAAAAAAAAAUAAAAAUAUGUAUCAUUCAAAUUGGGUGUAAUCACAGUAAACAGAUUAAGCUGUAUAGGUGAUAAGAUUAGUGUGUGUGUUUGUGUGUGUACGAGUGUGUGCGUGUAUGCAUGUGUGUGUGCUCAUACUCUGAGGCUAUAAUGAGAAUCUGUAAAUACCCUCAGACUGAAUCCCUCUCCAUGUUUAAUCUGAGUCCACAACUAGGAGCUGCCAGCACAGAUCAUCCUCCUGUACACACACACACACACACACACACACACACACACACACACACACACACACACACACAUGCGUAGACAUACACCUACACACACCAAACACAGGGAUAAUUCAAUAUGCAACAUCCGCAAAUGACACAGAAACAGGAAAAGCAUGUAUAGAUGAAACCAUAUACUCCAGCAGAUCACACACACGCACAUUAAACACACACACACACACACACACACUCGCAGGCCUAUGGAAGUGGAUCAAGGAGGUGGGUGUCUGUAGGAAUCUUGAGCCAGGCUAUCGCUAACAAGCAUGCUCCCCUCUCUCUCCUUUAUGCACUAAAUCCCUCCACUCCAUGCAGCAGAUUAGCAUAUUGUUUUACCCAAAUGCACACACACACACACACACGUUUACACACACACUCAUAGUGAUAGACCGACACUUAAAGCUGCGUGGCCCAAUUGAAAAUCUGGAGUCAGUCAGUUUGAUCAGUGGUGAGAAACACUGACUGAGAUGAGGACUCGGAAAGACUUAGUGACACCUUUUUAACAGCAUCUUUGUGGAGAGCCAAGACAAGUAUCAGAGUCUGAUGUUUGGUUUCCUACAGGUCUGACAAAGUCUUCAACUAGAAUUCUCAAAAUAUCCUCACAAACAUUUUUUAAUGACACUCUGGAAAAUAUCCGUAAAGUUUCAGGGGUUUUAUCCUGUAAAUCCUGACUGUAGGCAGUUGAAAAAGCUUUUUUGAUCCGAGUUUGAUCAGUCAGUUUUCCUAUCAGUGUUAAGAGCAGUAGCCUACAGUAUAUCUACAGUAUAUGUUGUAGAUAUCUACUGUGGAUAUCUACAAUAUAUAUGUAUUUUUUAUAACUUAAUAAAAAAUUACCAAAAAUCGGCCGAUUAAUCAGUAAUCUGACCCCCACAAUUAGCAUCGGCCCCAAAAAAUCCAUAUCCGUCAGGCCUUAAUCCUGACUAUGGUGUUCACAGUGUGAACGUGUUUGGAGGGAUGGGGUGAGGGUGUCACUCCAGCUUCAUUCCGGUUUUACUGACCUGCUUAGUUGGCAAACGACCUUGUAUCCUACUAAUUUGGAGAUGAAUUUCAACUAGGCCUGAACGAUAUAUCGUUUGACUAUCGUCAUCGCGAUGUACGUGUGCGAUAGUCACAUCGCAGAGCCUGCGAUAUUGAAGGUGAAUGAACUCAUUUAAUUUCAAGGGUAACCGACUGAGAUACACUCCAUGUGACUCUGCAUGUGCUGUGCAGCGAUCCACCAAUCACCUUUGUCCUUUACUCAGUUGCCAAUCAGACUUACUUCUCAGUUGCCAAUCAGACUACCCUGCCAGCUGUCAAUCAAAAUCAGGGAGGAGGAAACCCACCCCUGCACAUGUUCUGCACAUGGAGGGAGACGUGUGUCCGCUGAGAAUUACUUUCGGAACUUUACUCAUCACUGUUUAGCCCAACAAAUAAGAACUGUAUGGGUUUUAAAUUGUACAUUUCCGUGGACCACUCUACUAUAAGCAGUGCGCGUUUUGCGAGGUGCAUGCAAUUCUCGGAGGACAUGUGUUUCUCGGCACAACACCGCUAACAACAACAACAACGAUCGCAAAAUGAACAACGAACAAGCGGAAACCACCGAAAAUGAAGAUUUGUUGCCAAAAAGAAAAGGAAAGCCAGUUAUCUGGAAUUAUUUCGGUUAAAAGAAGGAUGAUGUCGACCAAAACACGUCUUCUGUGUUCACCUGUUGCAACAAUAACGUCCCAGCACAAUAAAAGCUAAAAAUAUCUCUGAGACAGACAGAAGCCAUUCUACUAACAUUCACAAAAAGAGGUAAGA